rnacentral:rRNA from 1 species
UACGUAGGGGGCAAGCGUUGUCCGGAUUUAUUGGGCGUAAAGAGCGUGUAGGCGGCCAGACAGGUCCGUUGUGAAAACUCGAGGCUCAACCUCGAGACGUCGACGGAAACCGUCUGGCUAGAGUCCGGAAGAGGAGUGUGGAAUUCCUGGUGGUGAGCGGUGAAAUGCGCAGAUAUCAGGAAGAACACCUAUGGCGAAGGCAGCACUCUGGGACGGUACUGACGCUGAGACGCGAAAGCGUGGGGAGCGAACAGG